AUUGAACGCUGGCGGCAGGCCUAACACAUGCAAGUCGGACGGUAGCACAGAGAGCUUGCUCUCGGGUGACGAGUGGCGGACGGGUGAGUAAUGUCUGGGGAUCUGCCCGAUAGAGGGGGAUAACCACUGGAAACGGUGGCUAAUACCGCAUAACGUCGCAAGACCAAAGAGGGGGACCUUCGGGCCUCUCACUAUCGGAUGAACCCAGAUGGGAUUAGCUAGUAGGCGGGGUAAUGGCCCACCUAGGCGACGAUCCCUAGCUGGUCUGAGAGGAUGACCAGCCACACUGGAACUGAGACACGGUCCAGACUCCUACGGGAGGCAGCAGUGGGGAAUAUUGCACAAUGGGCGCAAGCCUGAUGCAGCCAUGCCGCGUGUAUGAAGAAGGCCUUCGGGUUGUAAAGUACUUUCAGCGGGGAGGAAGGCGAUGCGGUUAAUAACCGUGUCGAUUGACGUUACCCGCAGAAGAAGCACCGGCUAACUCCGUGCCAGCAGCCGCCGUAA
rnacentral:rRNA from 1 species